AACGAACGCUGGCGGCAUGCCUAACACAUGCAAGUCGAACGAGACCUUCGGGUCUAGUGGCGCACGGGUGCGUAACGCGUGGGAACCUGCCCUUAGGUUCGGAAUAACUCCCCGAAAGGGGUGCUAAUACCGGAUAAUGUCUUCGGACCAAAGAUUUAUCGCCUUUGGAUGGGCCCGCGUUGGAUUAGCUAGUUGGUAGGGUAAAAGCCUACCAAGGCGACGAUCCAUAGCUGGUCAGAGAGGAUGAUCAGCCACACUGGGACUGAGACACGGCCCAGACUCCUACGGGAGGCAGCAGUGGGGAAUAUUGGACAAUGGGCGAAAGCCUGAUCCAGCAAUGCCGCGUGAGUGAUGAAGGCCUUAGGGUUGUAAAGCUCUUUUACCCGGGAUGAUAAUGACGGUACCGGGAGAAUAAGCUCCGGCUAACUCCGUG
rnacentral:rRNA from 1 species